GAUGAACGCUGGCGGCGUGACUAAUACAUGCAAGUCGAGCGAACGGACGAGAAGCUUGCUUUUCUGAUGUUAGCGGCGGACGGGUGAGUAACACGUGGAUAACCUACCUAUAAGACUGGGAUAACUUCGGGAAACCGGAGCUAAUACCGGAUAAUAUUUUGAACCGCAUGGUUCAAAAGUGAAAGACGGUCUUGCUGUCACUUAUAGAUGGAUCCGCGCUGCAUUAGCUAGUUGGUAAGGUAACGGCUUACCAAGGCAACGAUGCAUAGCCGACCUGAGAGGGUGAUCGGCCACACUGGAACUGAGACACGGUCCAGACUCCUACGGGAGGCAGCAGUAGGGAAUCUUCCGCAAUGGGCGAAAGCCUGACGGAGCAACUCCGCGUGAGUGAUGAAGGUCUUCGGAUCGUAAAACUCUGUUAUUAGGGAAGAACAUAUGUGUAAGUAACUGUGCACAUCUUGACGGUACCUAAUCAGAAAGCCACGGCUAACUACGUG
rnacentral:rRNA from 1 species